GUAGGUGGCAAGCGUUGUCCGGAAUUAUUGGGCGUAAAGCGCGCGCAGGUGGGUUCUUUAAGUCUGAUGUGAAAGCCCCCGGGCUCAACCGGGGAGGGUCAUUGGAAACUGGGGAACUUGAGUGCAGGAGAGGAAAGUGGAAUUCCACGUGUAGCGGUGAAAUGCGUAGAUAUGUGGAGGAACACCAGUGGCGAAGGCGACUUUCUAGCCUGUAACUGACACUGAGGCGCGAAAGCGUGGGGAGCAAACAGGAUUAGAUACCCUGGUAGUCCACGCCGUAAACGAUGAGUGCUAAGUGUCGGGGGGUUUCCGCCCCUCAGUGCUGCAGCUAACGCAUUAAGCACUCCGCCUGGGGAGUACGGUCGCAAGACUG
rnacentral:rRNA from 1 species